rnacentral:rRNA from 1 species
GGUAGCACCGCUGGAGCAGUCUCYCAACACUAAGCAGGGCUUAAGUGGACUUAAUGACGCUCGAACAGGCAUGCCCACUAGAAUACUAAUGGGCGCAAUGUGCGUUCAAAGAUUCGAUGAUUCACUGAAUUUUGCAAUUCACAUUACUUAUCGCA